GACGAACGCUGGCGGCGUGCUUAACACAUGCAAGUCGAACGAAGUGGCGAACGGGUGAGUAACGCGUAAUCAACCUGCCCUUCAGAGGGGGACAACAGGUGGAAACGACUGCUAAUACCGCAUACUGAAGGAGGGGAUUGCGUCUGAUUAGCUAGUUGGAGGGGUAACGGCCCACCAAGGCGAAGAUCAGUGGCCGGUCUGGGAGGGUGAACGGCCACAUUGGGACUGGGACACGGCCCAGACCCCUACGGGGGGCAGCAAUGGGGAAUCUUCCGCAAUGGACGGAAGUCUGACGGAGCAACGCCGCGUGAGUGAUGACGGCCUUCGGGUUGUAAAGCUCUGUUAAUCGGGACGCGGUACCGGAAUAGAAAGCCACGGCUAACUACGUGCCAGCCGCCGCGGUAAUAC
rnacentral:rRNA from 1 species